rnacentral:tRNA from 2 species
GUCUCUGUGGCGCAACUGGUUAGCGCGUUCGGCUGUUAACUAAAAGGUUGGUGGUUCAAGCCCACCCAGGGAUG